GCUCAGGAUGAACGCUAGCUACAGGCUUAACACAUGCAAGUCGAGGGGUAGCAGGGUGGCAAUACCGCUGACGACCGGCGCACGGGUGAGUAACACGUAUCCAACCUUCCCAUAACUCGGGGAUAGCCUUUCGAAAGAAAGAUUAAUACCCGAUAGUACUUAAGAAAGGCAUCUUUUUUAAGUUAAAGAUUUAUUGGUUAUGGAUGGGGAUGCGUUCCAUUAGAUAGUUGGUGAGGUAACGGCUCACCAAGUCUUCGAUGGAUAGGGGUUCUGAGAGGAAGGUCCCCCACAUUGGUACUGAGACACGGACCAAA
rnacentral:rRNA from 1 species